ACUAUUGCAACAUUUUUUUAUUUCCCUCCCCAAUAUUGCCAAAAAUCAAAGAAAUAUAAACAUUGUGUCUCUAAUUUCACCAAUGUUUCCUUAAGCUCCGAGGAACCAAUUUCACUAUGUUAUUUCAUUGAGCUCUUCGACUGAUUAACUCUCAAAUUGACCGCCUAAUUUGGGUCGGUCUUCUUUUUCUUCUUCUCUACAUCAUCAACUUCACUCUUAUCCCUCUAGAAACUUUGAUUCUAUAAACAUGGAUGAAAUUCUCAGGAAUAUUUAUUCUGAUUCUAACCCUUUUGCUUCUGACCCCACUGUUACCUUCACCAUCGCCACUGUUGUCACUGUUAAUUCUAUUGCUAUGGCCACCGGUGAUGGUGGUGGGGAUGUGGUGCUCAGUAAGACUAUGGAUGAGGUAUGGAUGGAGAUUAUAGCAGGGGGUAGGGGUGGGAGUAGGGAGACAGAGAUGACUUUGGAGCACAGUGCUCCGAUUUCACUGUGCUCCAUCCGCUACUGCUCUAACUUCAAUUUCAAUUCCUUAUAUUUUGCCUGUACUAAUUCUACUAUAAUCUUUUAAUUUUUAGGCCUUGGAAAUACAAGGAAAACAUUCUGAAGCUGUGGUGAAAUUGUUUAAAGUUUGUGUCAUUCACCAGAUAUUUCCUCCUGAAGAGUUCUCAUUUUGUAUCUCUUCAUUUUAUACUUUGUUAAGUUCGUCUGAUUUAUGCUCUAUUUGUGUAUCUCAUUGUGUGUUCUGUUUUAAUUCUUUUGGAAACAUCUUAGCAUUGAGCCAUUGAUAUCUUUUAAAAAUAAAAGAAUCUAGGAAAAAUAAUAGCUAUAACUUAUUAUUGAUCCCAAUUUUUGAUGAAGUAUAGUUUACUAUCUGAAGAAAAUGGCUAGCAAUCAUCCUAGAAUAUGGAAUAUUUACCAUUUUUAGUAAUUUUUCUGGUUGUCACUAUUUUAAGGUGCUAUUGGAAUUUGCACCGUAAUUUCAAACUAUUUCAUGCUAUUUAUUGUUUUAUUGGCUAUCUUACAGCUUGAGAUGGAGAUGGUGGCUCGUGGACUUGAGAAACACUUAAAAAUAGACCAACGGGAGUUCCUAUACGUAUAAUAAUAUCAUAUUCAUUCUGAAUCGACUAAAGUGUAGAUUUUGAAUUUUUUCCUAUCAGGUGUUGCUUGAUGAGGGAAAUCUCCAGCUUGUUAACUUUACAUCCUCUGUUCCAGCUGAGAACUCUAGAAUCUAUUUGGCUUUUCAAUUGAAUACUAAAAUGCCCAGUAAUAGGCUCAUUUACUCCAUCGGACUGACAGGAAUGCUGCCUUCCACUGUAGAUUACUGGUUGACAGAACAACAGUAUCAUACUUCCACUUCCUUGAAUUACAACACAGGUUAGUGAAUUGAUUAAAUUUUAUAAAUUGAUUAGUGUUGGAUGGUAUUGCAGGUCUAUUACUAUGAUGGAUAGUUAAAGAUUGUGGCGAGAUAAAUAUGAUCCUUCCAUCUUAAUAGUGUUUCAGGUUUGAGUCAUUCUUGGUAUAAAAAUAAAGAUGUUUCUCUUGGAUCUUGGUUUAUUGGGCUUGAUGUUGAACAUAUUGAUGAACGAAGUUUGUGCUAUGGAACACCCCCAAGUAAGACACUAACACUUAUUCACUCGAAUACUCUAUGUGAUGUGCUGGUUUCUGGUCUUUGGCUUCUGCUACUAGAGUUGAUGAUUGUUGACAUGUCUCAUUUCGAACUUAAACAAUUUCUUUAUUAUUUUCCGUAGCCAAGAAGUCCUUAGGUAUAUGUUGUUGCAUGAAAAAUCCAACAAAGAAUUCCCCUUAUAAGCAAAUACAAAAUAAACAAUGUGAGAGAAGCGCGAAUAUGUACCUUGCUAUGAGUUGCACCUUUGAAAUUAAUAACAAGUGAAAAUAUUCACAUUAAGGAUCAAAAAAAGAAGAAGUCUUUAUAUCUCUAUACUAGCUCUCUAAACUCAUGCAUAUCAGCAAGUCUUACAAUGUUCUCAUCUCUAUUUUUGAUCUUCUAUUUGGAGCUGAAAGUACCAAAAAAUGCUGCAAAGCUUCAAGAGUGGAUUUUCUUGGAGAAAUAUGGCUACUGCUAUGGUGACGGUUAUUCCUGUCCUUACAAAUAGUUAACUUCUGUAAUGAGCUUAAUUGAUUGGUUAUUGUUUUUGUUAUACAUCUUGCGUUGCUCAUAAAACUAUGCAUGCAUUUUUGGUGCCUCAAUCUAUUUAUAACGGUUAAUGUAUUUAAUUUUGACUGUGUUUGCUAUGUUGCCUUCUAAUGUCAAAGCUUUAUGAUUCCAUCACUUAGAGUCUUAGACUUCCAUGCAAAUCCAUUUUCUGUGAAGUCACACCUUUGUAAUUUACUGGCAAACUAAAGUGAUUGGCAGAUGGAGAAUUGCGACUGCAUUGCAAUAAGGUGAUUAUUCCCUUGCCCUUUUGCUUGUACCUCACGAUUCUGCCACGGGGACCUGGGCCUGAAGAUUAUACUGAUGCAAUCUCUAUUAUUUAUGAAUUCUUAUCUUCCUAGGAUAAAAUUCAUUUUAUAACUCUCUUUUAUAGAAAGAUCAGGUAGAAAAUGUACAACAACAUUAAGCCUAAAAAUAUUAUUUAUGGUGGCCAACAAAGAGGGGGAAAUGAACUGAUAUUGAUAUUGAUACUGUGCUUGUUGAAUUUUUUUUCCAUGGUAGUGCAAUUGACACCUAAAAGGAGAGUGGGAAUGACCAGGUUAAUUUCUCUUUCUCUGGAAAUCAAUAUUUUCUGCUAGUGACAAUGUUUACGUUGGGAAUGUAAUACAUCUUAUCUGGUAUUAUGUAUUUAAACUUUUGAUAGUAUUGGAGAUUUAUUUUGUUGGAUCAUUCCCCUUAAUUUGUUUGUUGGCAGUUGUACCUAUCAUAAAAUGUUAUAGAGUUCUCUUUAUAGUUUGUCAAUAAGUUUUCUUUGAAUUGAUAGUUCUCCAUUGCCGAAUUCAAUUGUGUGUUGGCUUAAAGAUAUCUCAAUUUAAUUUGCUUUUAUCUUGUUCUUGUUAUCGUACACGAGUUUAGGCCCUGGCAAUUUUGAGCAGAAUUCGUGAAGAUACGAGAAAAAAGCUAUCAGCCAAAGGCUAUUACCCACAGGAGGGAUACAUCCUACAAUACUUACCAGUACCUCCGAACUGUUUGUAUGUGCCUGAUAUAUCUGAUGGGAAUAGUAUCAUGUCUUCGGAUCACUCUAUAAUAAUGCUAAGGAAGGUGCUGAGACACCUCAUUUUGAGGCUCAUGAAUUGGAAGCGAAUGAUUUACAAGAAACAGUUGUCCAGUAUCUCCAAUGUAGGGGGACAGGCAAGGUACUAAGACUGCUUUUCUUGUUAACACUUGAAGUUGUACAACUAUUAAACUUUUCCUAUCUGCUUAGAGUAGUUUGUGAUUUUAUUGUUUGAGACGUCUAAUAUUAUGACAUGUCUUGGAAGUAGUUUGUAGCACUUGCAAUUUCUAGCAAUUAGUCACUGCACCACUUUGUGCUUUUGCAUAGUCUCCUUGGCAAGACUAAUUUUGGGUUCUUGAGUUUUCAGUUUCUUUUUAAAUUCUUGAGUACAUGUUUAAGUGUCUGCACUUAUGAGUCUUGGCUAAUUUACAGUUUAAAACAAACAGAAUGUGCAGGAUGAGAGACUAUCCAUUUCCGGGGAAUUUCGCAAAACAUAUUGGGCAUUCAACUCCAUGGACCUUCAAGCAUUCAGAAAAUUGAUCCAACAACUGAAUGUGGUAUUUGUUAUGCUCCAUAUCUUUCAAUUGGUAAUCCUCUAUCCAUAAGAUAAACCCAUUGAUAUUCUGUGGAUGGCAUUGACUUGGUGAUGUCAAUAUAGAUGAAGAACUUGGUGGUAGAAGCUGAAGUAGCACUGAUUGUAUAUGUGAAAAUAACAACUGCAGUAGGGCCUUCCACAGUGUUUGCCUGAAAAACAAUACGAGGCAUACGAAUAGCCAUUAUUGUUAGAACUGUUGCAUUAUUUCUUGCCUGCCCGACUAAACUCAUAAAUUCCAUAUUGCGUCGCACGAGAAGUACCUGGAAAUUCUAUUAUGUUUGGAGUAUACAAAGCAUUAAAGCUGUAUUUUGCAGGAGGUAUGGAUACUUCUGGUGUUGUUGUUCAGUGGAGAAAGCUAUAAGAAGGUCCUAGACUUGCUGUUUUUGAUUUAGAUUACUAGCUUGUUGUAAAGAUUUGUCUUGUGACGUGAUUAUAUAUGUAAUUACUAAUUUAUAUAGUUGCAUAAAAUUUUAAUUUUGAUUACUAUAUUAAUGAAAGAUUUUGUUGUGAUGUGU